rnacentral:rRNA from 1 species
UACAGAGGUCUCAAGCGUUGUUCGGAUUCAUUGGGCGUAAAGGGUGCGUAGGUGGCGCUGUAAGUCAGGUGUGAAAUUUCGGAGCUUAACUCCGAAACUGCAUUCGAUACUGCGGUGCUUGAGGACUGGAGAGGAGACUGGAAUUUACGGUGUAGCAGUGAAAUGCGUAGAUAUCGUAAGGAAGACCAGUGGCGAAGGCGGGUCUCUGGACAGUUCCUGACACUGAGACACGAAGGCCAGGGGAGCAAACGGG